rnacentral:rRNA from 1 species
AGCCUGAACGCUGGCGGCGUGGCUAAGACAUGCAAGUCGUACGGUGUAGCAAUACACAGUGGCGAACGGGUGAGUAAUGAAUCGCUAACGUGCCCCGGACUCUGAGAUAGCCAACCGAAAGGUUGGGUAAUACCAGGAAAUAUAACCGAAUCGCAUGGUUUGGUUCUCAAAGGAGUAAUCC